CCUACGGGAGGCAGCAGUGGGGAAUAUUGGGCAAUGGAGGCAACUCUGACCCAGCAACGCCGCGUGAAUGAUGAAGGUCUUCGGAUUGUAAAGUUCUUUUGUUAGAGAAGAUAAUGACGGUAUCUAACGAAUAAGCACCGGCUAACUCCGUGCCAGCAGCCGCGGUAAUACGGAGGGUGCAAGCGUUACUCGGAAUCACUGGGCGUAAAGAGCGCGUAGGCGGGAUAGCAAGUCAGAUGUGAAAUCCUAUGGCUUAACCAUAGAACUGCAUUUGAAACUGUUAUUCUAGAGUAUGGGAGAGGUAGGUGGAAUUCUUGGUGUAGGGGUGAAAUGCGUAGAGAUCAAGAGGAAUACUCAUUGCGAAGGCGACCUGCUAGAACAUAACUGACGCUGAUGCGCGAAAGCGUGGGGAGCAAACAGGAUUAGAUACCCGAGUAGUC
rnacentral:rRNA from 1 species